rnacentral:rRNA from 1 species
UACAGAGGUCUCAAGCGUUGUUCGGAUUCAUUGGGAGUAAAGGGUGCGUAGGCGGCGCGGUAAGUCGGGUGUGAAAUCUCGGAGCUUAACUCCGAAACAGCAUUCGAUACUGCCGUGCUUGAGGACUGGAGAGGAGACUGGAAUUUACGGUGUAGCGGUGAAAUGCGUAGAUAUCUGGAGGAACACCGGUGGCGAAGGCGGCAUCCUGGACCAAUACUGACACUGAAAAGCGAAAGCCAGGGGAGCAAACGGG